AAAAAAAAAAAAAAAGGGAGAAACCAUGAUCACGAAGGUGGUUUUCCCAGGGCGAGGCUUAUCCAUUGCACCCCGGAUGUGCUGACCCCUGCGAUUUCCCCAGAUGUGGGAAACUCGACUGCAUAAUUUGUGGUCGUGGGGGACUGCGUUUGCGCUCUCUAU
rnacentral:snRNA from 1 species